rnacentral:rRNA from 1 species
CACGUAGGGUGCGAGCGUUGUCCGGAAUUAUUGGGCGUAAAGAGCUCGUAGGCGGCGUGUCGCGUCGGCCGUGAAAACCUGCAGCUUAACUGUGGGCUUGCGGUCGAUACGGGCAUCACUGGAGUUCGGCAGGGGAGACUGGAAUUCCUGGUGUAGCGGUGAAAUGCGCAGAUAUCAGGAGGAACACCGGUGGCGAAGGCGGGUCUCUGGGCCGAUACUGACGCUGAGGUGCGAAAGCGUGGGGAGCAAACAGG